rnacentral:rRNA from 1 species
ACGGGCGGAGUGUACAAGGCCCGGGAACGUAUUCACCGCGACAUGCUGAUUCGCGAUUACUAGCGAUUCCGACUUCGUGUAGGCGAGUUGCAGCCUACAGUCCGAACUGAGAACGGCUUUAAGAGAUUUGCUUGGCCUCGCGACUUCGCGACUCGUUGUACCGUCCAUUGUAGCACGUGUGUAGCCCAGGUCAUAAGGGGCAUGAUGAUUUGACGUCAUCCCCACCUUCCUCCGGUUUGUCACCGGCAGUCUCACUAGAGUGCCCAACUCAAUGCUGGCAACUAAUAACAAGGGUUGCGCUCGUUGCGGGACUUAACCCAACAUCUCACGACACGAGCUGACGACAACCAUGCACCACCUGUCAUUCCGUCCCCGAAGGGAACGCCUAAUCUCUUAAGUUGGCGAAAGAUGUUAAAACCUGGUAAAGGGUCUUCCCGUUAGCUUCCAAUUAAAACAAAUGCUCCAACGGCUUGUGCGGGG